UACGUAGGGUGCAAGCGUUGUCCGGAAUUAUUGGGCGUAAAGGGCUCGUAGGCGGUCUGUCACGUCGGGAGUGAAAACUCAGGGCUUAACCCUGAGCCUGCUUCGAUACGGGCAGACUAGAGGUAUGCAGGGGAGAACGGAAUUCCUGGUGUAGCGGUGAAAUGCGCAGAUAUCAGGAGGAACACCGGUGGCGAAGGCGGUUCUCUGGGCAUUACCUGACGCUGAGGAGCGAAAGUGUGGGGAGCGAACAGG
rnacentral:rRNA from 1 species